GAUGAACGCUGGCGGCGUGCCUAAUACAUGCAAGUCGAACGAACGGGCGCGAAGCUUGCUUUUCUGAUGUUAGCGGCGGACGGGUGAAUAACGCGUGGAUAACCUACCUAUAAUACUGGGAUCACUUCGGGAAACCGGCGCUAAUACCGGAUGAUCUUUUGAACCGCGUUGUUCAAAGGUGAGAGACGGUGUUUGUGUCACUAAUAGCUGCAUCCGGGCUGCAUUAGCUGGUUGGUAAGGUAACGGCUUACCAAGGCAACGAUGCAUAUCCGACGGGAGGGGGGGAUCGGCGACCCUGGAAGGUAGCCACGGACCAGAGUCCUGCGGUAGGCACCAGUAGGGAAUCGGCCGCAAUGGGCGAGAGCCUGGCGGAGCAGCGCCGCGCGAGUGAUGAAGGCGUUCGGAUCGGAAAGCUCGGUUAUGAGGGAUGAACAGAUUUGUAAUUAACUGUGCACAUCGUGACGGUACUUGAUCAGAAAGCCCCGGCUAACUACGUG
rnacentral:rRNA from 1 species